GACGAACGCUGGCGGCGUGCCUAAUACAUGCCAGUAGAACGCUGAAGGAGGAGCUUGCUUCUCUGGAUGAGUUGCGAACGGGUGAGUAACGCGUAGGUAACCUGCCUGGUAGCGGGGGAUAACUAUUGGAAACGAUAGCUAAUACCGCAUAACAGUAGAUAUCGCAUGAUAUCUACUUGAAAGGUGCAAUUGCAUCACUACCAGAUGGACCUGCGUUGUAUUAGCUAGUUGGUGAGGUAACGGCUCACCAAGGCGACGAUACAUAGCCGACCUGAGAGGGUGAUCGGCCACACUGGGACUGAGACACGGCCCAGACUCCUACGGGAGGCAGCAGUAGGGAAUCUUCGGCAAUGGACGGAAGUCUGACCGAGCAACGCCGCGUGAGUGAAGAAGGGUUUCGGAUCGUAAAGCUCUGUUGUAAGAGAAGAACGAGUGUGAGAGUGGAAAGUUCACACUGUGACGGUAUCUUACCAGAAAGGGACGGCUAACUACGUG
rnacentral:rRNA from 1 species